rnacentral:rRNA from 1 species
UACGUAGGGUGCAGGCGUUAAUCGGAAUUACUGGGCGUAAAGCGUGCGUAGGCGGCGGCUCAAGUCUGGUGUGAAAUCUCCCGGCUUAACCGGGAGGGUGCGCUAGAAACUGGGUUGCUGGAGUACCGGAGAGGCAGGCGGAAUUCCUGGUGUAGCGGUGAAAUGCGUAGAUAUCAGGAGGAACACCCGUGGUGUAGACGGCUUGCUGGACGGUCACUGACGCUGAGGCACGAAAGCGUGGGGAGCAAACAGG